AUGUCGGCCGCCGCGCUAAGAAGCCAGCUCAACGAGCACAUCAGCUACAUGUACGCCACGGGAAUUCUGGACGAGUACUACCAACAGCUGCAGUCGCCACAGGACGAGGGGUUCGUCCCUGAGGUCAUCAACAUCUUCCUCGGCGACGCCGACAGGAUGCUCAACGAUAUCACCAGCCUUCUGAACCUGCCCGUCGUCGACUUCGAAAUGGUGGGCGAACUGGUGCACCAGCUCAAGGCGUGCAGCUGCAGUGUUGGUGCUAGGAAAGUUAACCUCGCCUGCGAGCACUUUCGCCAGUUCUACAAGGCGAAAAACAAAGAAGGGUGUCUCACGGCAUUGAAUCUUCUUAGGAACGAGUUCUAUGAUGUGCGCGGCAGGCUACAGGCCAUUAUGCAGUUGGAGCAGCAGAUUGCAGCCUUGGGUCCUAAGUAG
rnacentral:rRNA from 1 species